AAACUACUCCCUCCGUUCGGAAUUACUUGUCUCGGAAAUGGAUGUAUCUAGAACUAAAAUACGUCUAAAUACAUCCAUUUCUGCGACAAGUAAUUCCGAACGGAGGGAGUACCAG
rnacentral:pre_miRNA from 1 species